rnacentral:rRNA from 1 species
AGCGAACGCUGGCGGCAGGCCUAACACAUGCAAGUCGAACGAAGUCUUCGGACUUAGUGGCGAACGGGUGAGUAACACGUGGGAACGUACCUUUUGGUUCGGAACAACUCAGGGAAACUUGAGCUAAUACCGGAUGAGCCCUUAGGGGGAAAGAUUUAUCGCCGAAAGAGCGGCCCGCGUUAGAUUAGCUAGUUGGUGAGGUAAAGGCUCACCAAGGCUACGAUCUAUAGCUGGUCUGAGAGAAUGAUCAGCCACACUGGGACUGAGACACGGCCCAGACUCCUACGGGAGGCAGCAGUGGGGAAUCUUGCGCAAUGGGCGAAAGCCUGACGCAGCCAUGCCGCGAGAAUGAUGAAGGUCUUAGGAUUGUAAAAUUCUUUUACCAGGGACGAUAAUGACGGUACCUGGAGAAAAAGCCCCGGCUAACUUCGUGCCAGCCGCCGCCGUAAUAC